AGCUCCAAUAGCGUAUAUUAAAGUUGUUGCGGUUAAAAAGCUCGUAGUUGGAUUUCAGUUCUGGAUUGACGGUUCACUGCCCGGUGAUCACUGUCACGCUCCGAACACUUUGACAAUCCGCUGGCUCGCACGGGGUGCUCUUUACCGAGUGUCCCGCGUGGCCGGCAGAGUUUACUUUGAAGAAAUUAGAGUUCUCAAAGCAGGCUAUAUUGAUGGCCUGAAUACCUAUGCAUGGAAUAAUGGAAUAGGACCUCGGUUCCAUUUUGUCGGUUUUCUGAACCCGAGGUCAUGACUAAUAGGAACAGGCGGGGACAUUCGUAUUGCGACGCUAGAGGUGAAAUUCUUGAACCGUCACAAGACGAACUACUGCGAAAGCAUUUGCCAAGGAUGUUUUUAUUAA
rnacentral:rRNA from 1 species